ACGGAAGGCAGCAGUGGGGGAUAUUGCACAAUGGGGGAAACCCUGAUGCAGCGACGCCGCGUGAGCGAAGAAGUAUUUCGGUAUGUAAAGCUCUAUCAGCAGGGAAGAAAAUGACGGUACCUGACUAAGAAGCUCCGGCUAAAUACGUGCCAGCAGCCGCGGUAAUAAGUAUGGAGCAAGCGUUAUCCGGAUUUACUGGGUGUAAAGGGAGCGUAGACGGUUUGCCAAGUCUGAUGUGAAAGGUGGGGGCUCAACCCCCAAACUGCAUUGGAAACUGGUAGACUAGAGUGUCGGAGAGGUAAGUGGAAUUCCUAGUGUAGCGGUGAAAUGCGUAGAUAUUAGGAGGAACACCAGUGGCGAAGGCGGCUUACUGGACGAUAACUGACGUUGAGGCUCGAAAGCGUGGGGAGCAAACAGGAUUAGAUACCCUGGUA
rnacentral:rRNA from 1 species